AGUGUGCGAAUAAUAAAUAAAAAAGCUGGUAGCUAAGGAAGAGCAAUCGAGUGCAGAGCUAUUGUGAUCACGUGACUAGUGCCGAGCGCGAAGAAAAGAGCAUAACACCCUCUUAGCGAGCUGUCUCCUGAACCAACCCACUGAUUUUUAUAGAUCAGUGCCUGAACCUCCUUACAGUGGGUCUAAAGACACAUCCGUUCAACAUGCAUUUAGUUCAUUAACACUUAUGGUUUGCAUAGUAUUGUUUUAUUUUCAUUAGGCUGUUGAUUAAUUUGACAUUGUUGUUUAUUAUUGAUAUUCUCCAUAAU